GGCCGCGGUAAUUCCAGCUCCAAUAGCGUAUAUUAAAGUUGUUGUGGUUAAAAAGCUCGUAGUUGAACCUUGGGCCUGGCUGGCCGGUCCGCCUCACCGCGUGUACUGGUCCGGCCGGGCCUUUCCCUCUGUGGAACCCCAUGCCCUUCACUGGGCGUGGCGGGGAAACAGGACUUUUACUUUGAAAAAAUUAGAGUGCUCCAGGCAGGCCUAUGCUCGAAUACAUUAGCAUGGAAUAAUGAAAUAGGACGCGCGGUUCUAUUUUGUUGGUUUCUAGGACCGCCGUAAUGAUUAAUAGGGACAGUCGGGGGCAUCAGUAUUCAAUGGUCAGAGGUGAAAUUCUUGGAUCCAUUGAAGACUAACUACUGCGAAAGCAUUUGUCAAGGAUGUUUUCAUUAAUCAGGAACGAAAGUUAGGGGAUCGAAGACGAUCAGAUACCGUCGUAGUCUUAACCAUAAACUAUGCCGACUAGGGAUCGGACGAUGUUAUUUUUUGACUCGUUCGGCACCUUACGAGAAAUCAAAGUGCUUGGGCUCCAGGGGGAGUAUGGUCGCAAGGCUGAAACUUAAUGGAA
rnacentral:rRNA from 1 species